UACGGGGGGGGCAAGCGUUGUUCGGAAUUAUUGGGCGUAAAGGGCUCGUAGGCGGUCUGUUGCGUCGGGAGUGAAAACUCAGGGCUUAACCCUGAGCCUGCUUCCGAUACGGGCAGACUAGAGGUAUGCAGAGGGUAGCGGAAUUCCCGGUGUAGUGGUGAAAUGCGUAGAUAUCGGGAGGAACACCAGUGGCGAAGGCGGCUACCUGGCCCACUCUUGACGCUGAGGCGCGAAAGCUAGGGGAGCAAACGGG
rnacentral:rRNA from 1 species